rnacentral:rRNA from 1 species
GACGAACGCUGGCGGCGUGCCUAAUACAUGCAAGUAGAACGCUGAAGGAGGAGCUUACUUCUCUGGACGAGUUGCGAACGGGUGAGUAACGCGUAGGUAACCUGCCUGGUAGCGGGGGAUAACUAUUGGAAACGAUAGCUAAUACCGCAUAAGAGUAGAUGUUGCAUGACAUUUACUUAAAAGGUGCAAUUGCACAAAUACCAGAUGGACAUGCGUUGUAUUAGCUAGUUGGUGGGGUAACGGCUUACCAAGGCGACGAUACAUAGCCGACCUGAGAGGGUGAUCGGCCACACUGGGACUGAGACACGGCCCAGACUCCUACGGGAGGCAGCAGUAGGGAGUCUUCGGCAAUGGACGGAAGUCUGACCGAGCAACGCCGCGUGAGUGAAGAAGGUUUUCGGAUCGUAAAGCUCUGUUGUAAGAGAAGAACGAGUGUGAGAGUGGAAAGUUCACACUGUGACGGUAUCUUACCAGAAAGGGACGGCUAACUACGUGCCAGCCGCCGCCGUAA